AGAGUUUGAUUAUGGCUCAGGAUGAACGCUAGCGGCAGGCUUAACACAUGCAAGUCGAGGGGCAGCGCGGGUAGCAAUACCUGGCGGCGACCGGCGAAAGGGUGAGUAACGCGUGAGCAACGUGCCCGUAUGUGGGGGAUAGUCAUUGGAAACGAUGCGUAAUACCCCGUAACACAUCUUCCCGCAUGAGGAGGUGUUGAAAGAUUGAUUGCAUACGGAUCGGCUCGCGUGCCAUUAGGUAGACGGCGGGGUAACGGCCCACCGUACCGACGAUGGCUAGGGGUUCUGAGAGGAAGGUCCCCCACAUUGGAACUGAGACACGGUCCAGACUCCUACGGGAGGCAGCAGUGAGGAAUAUUGGACAAUGGCCGGAAGGCUGAUCCAGCCAUGCCGCGUGCGGGGAAAGACGGCCCUAUGGGUUGUAAACCGCGUUUUGCGAGGGAGCAAUAAGGUCCACGCGUGGGCCGAUGAGAGUACCUCGCGAAUAAGCAUCGGCUAACUCCGUGCCAGCCGCAGC
rnacentral:rRNA from 1 species